rnacentral:rRNA from 1 species
AUUGAACGCUGGCGGCAUGCUUUACACAUGCAAGUCGAACGGUAACAGGCCGCAAGGUGCUGACGAGUGGCGAACGGGUGAGUAAUGCAUCGGAACGUGCCCAGUCGUGGGGGAUAGCCCGGCGAAAGCCGGAUUAAUACCGCAUACGACCCAUGGGUGAAAGCGGGGGACCUUCGGGCCUCGCGCGAUUGGAGCGGCCGAUGUCAGAUUAGGUAGUUGGUGGGGUAAAGGCCUACCAAGCCGACGAUCUGUAGCUGGUCUGAGAGGACGACCAGCCACACUGGGACUGAGACACGGCCCAGACGCCUACGGGAGGCAGCAGUGGGGAAUUUUGGACAAUGGGCGCAAGCCUGAUCCAGCCAUGCCGCGUGCGGGAAGAAGGCCUUCGGGUUGUAAACCGCUUUUGUCGGGGAAGAAAUACGCCGGGCUAACAUCCUGGCGGGAUGACGGUACCCGAAGAAUAAGCACCGGCUAACUACGUGCCAGCCGCCGCGGUAAGAC